rnacentral:lncRNA from 1 species
UGCCGCCGACACGUCACUUCCGGGCGCAGGUGGCUAGAGGAAGAAGCUGAUAUUUAACAAAUAACAAGAGGUUGCGAUAAAUAGAAUUUAAGGUGGGAAAGCAGCCGCCAAACUGACAAAUCGUCUUCGAGACCGACAAGAAAAUAGUAGUCCGGAAUUUGGCUAAUGGAUGGAGAAGGUGGUCGUUUUUCAUAGACCCUUACGGAGAAUAUCUAGUGAAGCUAAAGAGAUCACCAUAAACUUAUGCAUUCAAACGCAUUUCUGGAACAGAGGUCGUAACCGAUUUUGUUUCCAUCAUCAGUCCUGAACAGUUGAUUAUUUAUAUAAUCAACUGUUAUUUAUAUAAAGGUAAUAAAAAUAUUACCUUUCCUCCUCCUUUACAAUGAAUAUCUGUUAGAACACCUGCCAGUGUAACAAUCAGACUACAAGGCUACAGGAUUAUGAUUACUGUCUCGGAUGAUG